UUCAACUUCUAUAUACCUUUUGGUUUUGUAUUCAAGUCUCUGCGUAUACAAUAAGGAAAAACAUUUUCCUUCUCUUCUUCUUAUUUUUUUUAUCUUUCUUCCUUAUUUUCCUUCCCUUGUGUUCUUUUUCCCGCUUUUGCCUUGUUUUUUUAUUUCUUGUUGCCAUUUUUGCUGCUGUUACAACGGGGAAACUUCGUAUUUCGUUGUCUUCGAUUAUUAGGAUAAUUGCGAAAAGAUCGUGAGAACAACGUUCCGCAAACAUUUUGGUUCUAUGAAUUGAUGUUUGGUGCGAAGGUGUAUAACAAAAACCCGAAUUGUUACGAAUGAAAGAGGCCGAAAAACAUGGCUGUUGAUGCCACACGACCAUGUGUUAGGCAGUCUGGUAGGCCGUGUAACUCACUAUUUUGGAAUUAAAGACAUACGGGCUAGAGACACG